ACCUGGCUUGACAUCCCGGGAAUCCCUUGGAACAAGGGAGUGCCCUUCGGGGAACCUGGAGACAGGUGCUGCAUGGCUGUCGUCAGCUCGUGUCGUGAGAUGUAGGGUUAAGUCCCGCAACGAGCGCAACCCUUGUCUUUAAUUUGCCAUCAUUGAGUUGGGCACUUUAAAGAGACUGCCGGUGUUAAACCGGAGGAAGGUGGGGAUGACGUCAAAUCAUCAUGCCCCUUAUGUUCUGGGCUACACACGUGCUACAAUGGCCGGUACAGACGGACGCAAAGCCGCGAGGUGGAGCAAAUCCUAAAAAGCCGGUCUCAGUUCGGAUUGCAGGCUGCAAUUCGCCUGCAUGAAGUCGGAAUCGCUAGUAAUCGCAGGUCAGCAUACUGCGGUCGAAUACGUUCCCGGGCCUU
rnacentral:rRNA from 1 species